CCAGAUUUUGAAGAACGAUCGCAAGUAAAAGCCAGCAGGUAUGCGUGAUGAAAUGAGCUCAAAUUCACAAAAGAAGCAAAAAGACAGCUAAUUCUAACAUAAAUACAAGAAAAGGAAUAAAAGUAGACUGCCCGAACCCUCAACGGCAUCCUCCCAAGCAAAGAAGAGAAAACAGAAGCCUGAACACGCCCCGUGCUCAGCCAGCACGGGGCCGUGCCCAAGAAGCAGCAGAAAAGACAAACCUGUAGAAGCUUCUAUUGCCCACCACGGGGCCGUGUCCAGUGAGCACGGGGGUGUGGCGAAAGUACAACAGGCGCAUUAAUUGUAAUUGCGAAUUACAAUUAAUGAAGAGAGAGAGAGUGUCAGACGGGCACGGGGGCGUGUCCAGCGGACACGGGGCCGUGCCCAGCCUUCUGUUCAGCCUAUAAAUAGGAGUGCUUGGUUUCAUUCCAACUGAUCCCUUGGCACACCACCUCUCUCACACUUCAUCCACCACCCCCCACCACCAUAACACCAUCAUCCACCACCAUCAUCCAUUGUCCAUCGUAGAGUGUGUGAGUCGUCUCGGGAUCAAAGAUUGAUAGUAAGAGUUCUUGACAAUCAAGGCCGUGUUUGCCUAAGUCUCUUACAUCACUUGGUGAAGACAAGUGUUUAGUAUAAUACUUUUUAUUUUUAAUCUUUUCCACUUUUUAUUUGGUUUUGUAUUAAUGACUUUAAUAAUUAGUUCCUUAUGUUGAAGGUGAUCUU
rnacentral:lncRNA from 1 species